rnacentral:lncRNA from 1 species
GAGAGGCCUGAGCCUCCCCGAACUGCUUCCCCGGGGGCAGGUCAAGAACAGGGUUGGGGCUGUAUUGUCCCAACCUCUAUAAUCAUUUCUAGCCCUUUCCAAACCCUCUUUAAAGGAGACUCUCGGUGACUGAGAAACAUCUUGGAUGUGGCCUGUCUCCGUCUGUCAGAACAUCUCUAGGUCUGACCACAGUUUGCGGGAAAUACAGGGGACGGAGGGGCCCAGGGUGACGGUACAGAAAUGCAAUCAGAUGCAAAACGCAGAACCUCUGCAGGACAAAUGACCCAGUUUCUUCCACAAAUGAAUUGCGAGGGGGAAAAAGAGGGAGGCGAAAUAUAGAGACUUGAAGGCAUAUCUACCCAAUGCCAAGCAUCAGCCUGCUUUGUGUCCUGAUUUGAACAAACCAACUACAAAAAUAAAGAGCAUUUAAACAUCAAAUAGGCAUUUUCAUGAUACUAAGGAAUCACUGUUAUGUUUUAGGUGUGAUGUUAGGAUGAUGUGAAAAGCAAAGGGACCUCAUCUUUCGCCAACACAAACCCACCUGUUCACAGAGGAAACUGCGGGGUAUCUGAAGUCUGCUCUGUGCCAACCUGGGAGGGUGGCAGGAUCCCAGAAAGGACCCUAACCCCCCCCCCCGGGAUUCAUUAUCCUAUCUCCUCUAACUUUAUAUAUUUAAAUUUCCCCUCAUUAGGAAAAAUCAAGACCCAAGAGACACCGAAAAAAGGGAAAAAAAAAAAGGCGAUUCAGAGUCAGACCCUGAAUAUUGAAGAAGUUUCUUUUUCUUAUGGUUUCCUUUCCACGAGUGCACAAAAGAGUGAGGACAUGUGGAUAAAACGCACACACAAACGACACAAGCAAGUGCUUCUCUAAAUCCACGAGAGACGGACACCCAAAGGGGCACAGGAGAUGAGGCAGCAGCAUGUUGGUGCACAAGAUGCGAUACACCAGUGAACAGCGCACAUGAGGAGACACAUUCGGCUUUGCCAGAAAUCAAAGGAAUGAAAAUCACAACAGGAUAUCAUUUGAGCCUGUCAAUCUAGCAAAGCAGAGUAUGUGAUCCUGCAUUUGGGUCCCGGAGGGUGGGGGGGGGGACACUACUCUAGAGGACAUUACAGAGAUAAUUGGUAAAUUUUGAAUAUGACUUAGAAAAUAGUAAUGAUUUUUUAAAAGACUUUAUUUAUUUAUUCAUGAGAGACACAGAGAGAGGCAGAGACACAGGCAGAGGGAAAAGCAGACUCCCUGUCGGGAGCCCGAUGCGAGACUCCAUCCCAGGACCCCAGGGUCAUGGCCUCAACCACUGAGCCACCCGGGAGUCCCUGAAAAUAGUAGUAUAAUAGCAGGGUUACAUUGCUGAUUUUUAAAAAAAGAGAUAUUUAUUUAUUUUAGAGAGGGAGAGUGUAUAGGUGAGAGGGGCAGAGGGAGAGGGAGAGAAUCUCAAGCGGACUCUGCCCUGAGUGCAGAGCCUGAGGAAGUGGAUCUCAGGACCCUGAGGCCAUGACUUGAGCUGAAAUCAAGAAUCAGUCCUUUAAUUGACUUGAGCUCCGCCCCCAGGCCCCCGAUUGCUGAUUUUUUAUGCUCGCGUGGUUACGCAGAGGUUGUUAGGAAAUACACUGACACACUUGGGGGGUAAACAGGUCACAACGCCAGCAACUUACUCUCAAAUUGUUCAGAAAAGGGAGGUAGGAGGGGGGCACAUGGGGGAAUGUUAACCACGCCUGGCAGAGGAGGGGCUCUUGCACAUUCUUACAGUCUCUGUGAAUUUGAACUUGUAGGUAUGCCCUGCUUUUUGAAAGUCCGCAUCGCACCACUUGUACUUGUUUUUUGCUAACCAACAGAAAGCUGAGGAGGAUUUGCACUUUAACAAAAAAUGGGGAAAAGCAAAAAUAGCGUUUAGCAUUUGUUUUGCUGCCCACAGAGCUACUCUGGGGGCAUCCCCACCUGAGCAGUAAGAGGGGCCCCUCCGCCAUGCUCCUGCCCCAGACUCUACUCAUCAUCUCAGCAUCAGGCUGCUGGCUCUGACCUGUGUCUGCGAGCACCGAGGCUCCAUCCUGAUUUACUUUGAGCAUCGUUAGCAAGAUGUGUCCUAAGGUGUCAAAAAAACCUGAGAGAGGUUAUUUUUUGGGUCUGGGAAUGCUAAAAAAAGUUUCCGUAUAAAUUAAUGGUGGAGUGCCCGGAUGGCUCCAUCAGUCAAGCAUCUGACUCUUGAUUUUGGCUCAGGUCAUGGUCUCAGGGUCAUGAGAUUGGGCCCUGUGUUGGACUCUGCUCUGGGCAUAGAACCUGCUUAAGAUCCUCUCUCUCUCUCUCUGUCCCUCUGCCCCUCCCAUUCCAUCCUCUAAAAAUAAAGAAAUAAACAAAAGAAAAGAAUUAGUGGUAAUUACUUCUCUGCUUUACACCAUCGCAGCUUACCAAAGGUUGCAUAGCCUUGCCCCACUUUCAGAUAGCAGGGGAAGCCUGUAUCUCAGAAAGCUUUUUUAGGGGCACCUGGGUGGCUCACCUGGUUAAGCAUCUACCUUCGGCUCAGGUCAUGAUCCCAGGGUCCUGGGAUGGGGCCUUGCACAGAGCUCUCUGCUCGGAGGGGAGCCUGUGGAAGGGGAGGUGGGCGGGGGGUUGGGAUGACUGGGUGACGGGCACUGAGGGGGGCACUUGAUGGGAUGAGCACUGGGUGUUAUGCUAUAUGUUGGCAAAUCGAACUCCAAUAAAAAAAUAAUAUAAAAAUAAAUAAUAAAUAAAUAGAACAAGGGAAGAAAAUUUUCUUUUUCAUUAAAAAAAAAAAAAAAGAGCAGUGAGGGGCCAGAGGCUGACUUCAAAAUGUCCAUAACAGUACUUCUAGGCAGUGUCAAUAUAAGCGAUCUUAAUUUUCUUCUAUGUAUUUGGUCUGAGUGUUCUACAUCAAACAGUGAUCAGUUUUCCAGAAAAUUAUUUAAAAGUAUAAAUGCAAUGAUUUAAAGACUAUUG